UACAGAGGGUGCAAGCGUUAAUCGGAAUGACUGGGCGUAAAGAGCUCGUAGGCGGUUGGGUGAGUCACAGGUGAAAGCCCCGGGCUUAACCUGGGAAGGUCCUGUGAAACUAUCUAACUAGAAUAUAGGAGAGGGAAGUGGAAUUUCCGGUGUAGCGGUGAAAUGCGUAGAUAUCGGAAAGAACACCAGUGGCGAAGGCGACUUUCUGGCCUAAUAUUGACGCUGAGGAGCGAAAGCGUGGGGAGCAAACAGG
rnacentral:rRNA from 1 species